AUUGAACGCUGGCGGUAUGCUUAACACAUGCAAGUCGAACGGUAGCAGGCCUUCGGGCGCUGACGAGUGGCGGACGGGUGAGUAAUGCAUAGGAAUCUGCCUAUUAGUGGGGGAUAACGUGGGGAAACUCACGCUAAUACCGCAUACGCCCUACGGGGGAAAGCGGGGGACUUUCGGGCCUCGCGCUAAUAGAUGAGCCUAUGUUGGAUUAGCUAGUUGGUAGGGUAAAGGCCUACCAAGGCGACGAUCCAUAGCUGGUCUGAGAGGAUGAUCAGCCACACUGGGACUGGGACACGGCCCAGACUCCUACGGGAGGCAGCAGUGGGGAAUAUUGGACAAUGGGCGAAAGCCUGAUCCAGCAAUACCGCGUGUGUGAAGAAGGCCUGAGGGUUGUAAAGCACUUUCAAUGGGAAGGAAUACCUACCGGCCGAUACCCGGUAGACUGACAUUACCCAUACAAGAAGCACCGGCUAACUCCGUGCCAGCAGCCGCGGUAAUAC
rnacentral:rRNA from 1 species